rnacentral:rRNA from 1 species
UACGUAGGUGGCAAGCGUUUGUCCGGAUUUAUUGGGUUUAAAGGGUGCGUAGGCGGUCUUCUAAGUCAGUUGUGAAAUACUUCAGCUUAACUGGAGAGGUGCAAUUGAUACUGGAAGACUUGAGUACUGAUGAGGUAGGCGGAAUGGACGGUGUAGCGGUGAAAUGCUUAGAUAUCGUCCAGAACACCGAUAGCGAAGGCAGCUUACUAAGGAGUAACUGACGCUGAGGCACGAAAGCGUGGGGAGCGAACAGG